rnacentral:rRNA from 1 species
AAGCCAGUGGUGAACUCCACAUCCGCAUCCUUUGCUGAGGAUACGGUUAACGGAGCGAAAGCGACGUUCAACCGCAAAACAAGCAGAGGGGGCUUAGUGGUGGGGUGACUGCGUACCUUUUGUAUAAUGGGUCAGCGACUUAUAUUCUGUAGCAAGGUUAACCGAAUAGGGGAGCCGGAGGGAAACCGAGUCUUAAUUGGGCGUUAAGUUGCAGGGUAUAGACCCGAAACCCGGUGAUCUAGCCAUGGGCAGGUUGAAGGUUGGGUAACACUAACUGGAGGACCGAACCGACUAAUGUUGAAAAAUUAGCGGAUGACCUGUGGCUGGGGGUGAAAGGCCAAUCAAACCGGGAGAUAGCUGGUUCUCCCCGAAAGCUAUUUAGGUAGCGCCUCGUGAAUUCAUCUCCGGGGGUAGAGCACUGUUUCGGCUAGGGGGCCAUCCCGGCUUACCAACCCGAUGCAAACUGCGAAUACCGGAGAAUGUUAUCACGGGAGACACACGGCGGGUGCUAACGUCCGUCGUGAAGAGGGAAACAACCCAGACCGCCAGCUAAGGUCCCAAAGUCAUGGUUAAGUGGGAAACGAUGUGGGAAGGCCCAGACAGCCAGGAUGUUGGCUUAGAAGCAGCCAUCAUUUAAAGAAAGCGUAAUAGCUCACUGGUCGAGUCGGCCUGCGCGGAAGAUGUAACGGGGCUAAACCAUGCACCGAAG